UACGUAGGGGGCUAGCGUUAUCCGGAAUUACUGGGCGUAAAGGGUGCGUAGGUGGUUCCUUAAGUCAGAGGUGAAAGGCUACGGCUCAACCGUAGUAAGCCUUUGAAACUGGGAAACUUGAGUGCAGGAGAGGAGAGUGGAAUUCCUAGUGUAGCGGUGAAAUGCGUAGAUAUAAGGAGGAACACCAGUUGCGAAGGCGGCUCUCUGGACUGUAACUGACACUGAGGCACGAAAGCGUGGGGAGCAAACAGG
rnacentral:rRNA from 1 species